rnacentral:rRNA from 1 species
CAAGAGCGUAUAUUAAAGUUGCUGCGGUCAAAAAGCUCGUAGUUGGAUUUCAGUCUAGGAAGGUUAACUCGCCGAAAGGUUGUACGUUGAUUUUCCUCAGACUUCGUCAGAAGCUCGUGCUGCACUUAACUGUGUGGUACGAUGUUCUGACCUUUUACCUUGAGGAAAGUAGAGUGUUUCAGGCAGGCUACCCAGCUUGAAUACAUUAGCAUGGAAUAAUGAAAUGGAUCUCGGUUCGAUUUCGUUGGUUCUAGAGCUGAGGUGAUGAUCAAUAGGAACAGGCGAAGGUAUUCGUACUUGAGAGUGAGGAGUGAAAUCCGAUGAUCUCUUAAAGACGAUCCGAGGCGAAAGCAUUUGUCAAGGAUGUUUUCAUUGA